GCGAAAACUUUACAAUGCGAGCAAUCGUGAUAAGGGAACUCCGAGUGCCUGUAAAAUCAGGCUGUCCGUCAGUGUAAAUAACUGGCGAAGAAAGGGCCGGGCAAGACCGGUGCCAGCCGCCGCGGUAAUACCGGCGGCUCGAGUGGUGGCCACUAUUACUGGGCUUAAAGCGUUCGUAGCUGGCUUGUUAAGUCUCUGGGGAAAUCUUCCGGCUCAACCGGAAGGCGUCUCAGGGAUACUGGCAGGCUAGGGACCGGAAGAGGUGAGAGGUACUCCAGGGGUAGGAGUGAAAUCCUGUAAUCCUUGGGGGACCACCUGUGGCGAAGGCGUCUCACCAGGACGGCUCCGACAGUGAGGAACGAAAGCUGGGGGAGCAAACC
rnacentral:rRNA from 1 species